rnacentral:rRNA from 1 species
GACGAACCGAGCGAACGUUAUUCGGAAUCACUGGGCUUAAAGGGCGCGUAGGCGGGCGGCAAAGUCUAUGGUGAAAUCCUCCAGCUUAACUGGAGAACUGCCGUGGAUACUGGUCGUCUCGAGGAAGGUAGGGGCAUCUGGAACUGGUGGUGGAGCGGUGAAAUGCGUUGAUAUCAUCAGGAACUCCGGUGGCGAAGGCGAGAUGCUGGACCUUUUCUGACGCUGAGGCGCGAAAGCCAGGGGAGCAAACGGG